rnacentral:snRNA from 1 species
GGAUGUGAGGGCGAUCUGGCUGCGACAUUUGUCACCCCAUUGAUCGCCAGGGUUGAUUGGCUGCUCUGGCUGGCUAGGCGGGUGUCCCCUUCCUCCCUCACUGCUCCAUGUGCGUCCCUCCCGAAGCUGCGCGCUCCGUCGAAGAGGACAACCUUCCCGGAUAGAGGAGAGGACCGUUCUUCCAUCAAGAAUAUGAGAGACUAUGGACUCUGAAAAACAGUCUGAGGGAUUU